GGGGGUGUGUUGGUUUCGACUGGCGUUAGUUGAGCCGACAGUUGCAAGCGGAGCGCCAACUCCUAAAACUAGCGAAAAACAAAACUGCCAAAAAAGAAGACGAAGUCUCCUUCGACGCAGAAUACGCUCUCGCUGCCUAAGCAGUAGGAACGUACAGGAACUGAAAGUGCCGCUCUUAACUUUCAGUAUCCUGUAAACAACAAGGGCUAACCCGAGGGAGUGCCGGUGACCCGAGGGGACAUCUUACCGGAGUAGGAAGCGUAACGUCGGCCGCUGGUCCGAUCGCUUUUGAAUCAAAGAACAGCGGCUAAGCUUGUAGACGCUGCCGGGCGGCACGUUAGGACGGGGGUUCGACUCCCCCCACCUCCA
rnacentral:tmRNA from 1 species